rnacentral:misc_RNA from 1 species
GACUUUUCCUGAAAGGCAUAAGAACACAAAUAUAGCUAAAGUCUUGACAUACUCCUUAUCGAACUGUUUUUGGCUCUUUGCAAUUUCUAUUAAUGAAAACACCAGGUUUAUUUUCUAUUUUAAUUUACUGAUUGACAAUUGAUAAAAUAUGUUAUUAACUCAGUUUUUUUUUAUUGAUUUUUUGUUUAAUUCUGGAGGAAUGUGUCUCCAUAGCUGACUACUUUUAUGCAAUAGAUUUCCAUGUCUAGAUACUUCAAUGUUCUUUUGUUUUAAUCACCAUGUUGUACUACACAGUUGAUAAAAAGAUAUGGAUGACUUCAUUUAGGUCCUAAUUGUUGUUACAAUGUGAAAAUCAAUGGUACGCACAUUGAGUAAAACCUUGAUUGAAUGGAAUAACAAAUUGAGUUUUAUGCAGUGGAUGCUUUCUGAAUAUUUUUUAACCUGUUGAGAUGUAGAACCUUUGCUUGAUUUACAUUCUUUUGCUUGAUUUACAUUCUUUCUGUUGUUUGGAUGAAGAAAAAUUAUGAUAUUACAGUGUCCUCAUUU